rnacentral:rRNA from 1 species
GAUCAUUAUUGUAGGGACUCCGGUCCCCUCAAGAUGCAACCCGUGCCUUUUUUGUAGCCCGUAACGUUUCCUCGGCAGCCCCGCUGCCAGCGAGGACCCCCCCAAACCAAACCUGCAAUCUCAGUAAAAAAUUCAGAAACCCCCCAAAAUUUAAAACUUUCAACAAUGGAUCUCUUGGCUCUGGCAUCGAUGAAGAACGCAGCGAAAUGCGAUAAGUAGUGUGAAUUGCAGAAUUCAGUGAAUCAUCGAAUCUUUGAACGCACAUUGCGCCCUUUGGUAUUCCUCAGGGCAUGCCUGUUCGAGCGUCAUUUCAAAAUUCAAGCUCAGCUUGGUGAUGGGCGUCUGUCCCGCCUCCGCGCGCGGACUCGCCUCAAAAGUAGUUGGCAGCUCCCUUAUCGGCACUGAACGCAGCAAAUUUGCGGGACGCACCGAAGAAAGGGGCUUACCAGUAAGCAAACCACCCCAGAUUGACCUCGGAUCAGGUAGGGAUACCCGCUGAACUUAAGCAUAUCAAUAAGCGGAGGAAAAGAAACCAACAGGGAUUGCCCUAGUAACGGCGAGUGAAGCGGCAACAGCUCAAAUUUGAAAUCUGGCCCCCUCGCGGGGGUCCGAGUUGUAAUUUGCAGAGGGUGCUUUGGCGUUGGCUGUGGUCUAAGUUCCUUGGAACAGGACGUCGCAGAGGGUGAGAAUCCCGUAUGUGGCCGCCAGUCUUCGCCGUGUAAAGCCCCUUCGACGAGUCGAGUUGUUUGGGAAUGCAGCUCUAAAUGGGAGGUAAAUUUCUUCUAAAGCUAAAUAUCUGCCAGAGACCGAUAGCGCACAAGUAGAGUGAUCGAAAGAUGAAAAGCACUUUGGAAAGAGAGUCAAAAAGCACGUGAAAUUGUUGAAAGGGAAGCGCUUGCAGUUAGACGUGCCUCUAGUUGCUCAGCCGGGCCUUCGGGCCCGGUGCACUCUUCUAUUGGCAGGCCAGCAUCAGUCUGGGCGGUCGGAUAAAGGCCCAUUAAACGUGACUCCCUCCGGGGAGAGCUUAUAGGGUGGGCGACAUGCGACCAGCCCGGACUGAGGUCCGCG